GAAAACUCAUGAAGGCUGGGGGGUGAUGUUGCCCUGUAACCCACCUGCCCACUACCCAGGUGAGUCCAGACCUGGGGCCAGGGUUAGAAAGGGCACAGGAAGGGCUUCCAGAUGCUUGGCAGAGGAAGGAUGGAAUAAAAGGAGACCCCUGGAAAUGACCCUUAGAAGCACCCAUCCCUGGGACCCUAACUUUAAAUGAUCUGUGUUUCCUUUAUAGGUCUGUCAUUUUCCAUCGUUGUGCCCUGCUUCCGCCUUCAAACUGGGUGGCCCCUGAGGGCUGCGAUCCCUGGCAGACUUAGCGCUCCCUGAGGGCAGGAAUAAAGUCGCUUCUUCCCUCUAGGUCUCCCCUUAGCCCCAGUUCAGAGCAUGGUGGCUGUCAGGACAGGGCUUGCAGAACCGCACCAGCAUGCUGGGGUCCCACCCAGAGUGGCCCUGUUAGCCCAGCACCCCCUGGUUUCCUCAAACUCCUCACAUCCUAGGCUUGUCCUACCGCUGGCUCCUCAACGAGUUCCCCAACUUCAUCCCGACGGACGGGCGUCACUUCGUGUCCCAGACCACAGGGAACCUGUACAUUGCCCGAACCAAUGCCUCAGACCUGGGCAACUACUCCUGUUUGGCCACCAGCCACAUGGACUUCUCCACCAAGAGCGUCUUCAGCAAGUUUGCUCAGCUCAACCUGGCUGCUGAAGAUACCCGGCUCUUUGCACCCAGCAUCAAGGCCCGGUUCCCAGCAGAGACCUAUGCACUGGUGGGGCAGCAGGUCACCCUGGAGUGCUUCGCCUUUGGGAACCCUGUCCCCCGGAUCAAGUGGCGCAAAGUGGACGGCUCCCUGUCCCCGCAGUGGACCACAGCUGAGCCCACUCUGCAGAUCCCCAGCGUCAGCUUUGAGGAUGAGGGCACCUACGAGUGUGAGGCGGAGAACUCCAAGGGCCGAGACACCGUGCAGGGCCGCAUCAUCGUGCAGGCUCAGCCUGAGUGGCUAAAAGUGAUCUCGGACACAGAGGCUGACAUUGGCUCCAACCUGCGUUGGGGCUGUGCAGCCGCCGGCAAGCCCCGGCCUACAGUGCGCUGGCUGCGGAACGGGGAGCCUCUGGCCUCCCAGAACCGGGUGGAGGUGUUGGCCGGGGACCUGCGGUUCUCCAAGCUGAGCCUGGAGGACUCGGGCAUGUACCAGUGUGUGGCAGAGAAUAAGCAUGGUACCAUCUACGCCAGCGCCGAGCUAGCCGUGCAAGCACUCGCCCCUGACUUCAGGCUGAAUCCCGUGAGGCGUCUGAUCCCCGCGGCCCGCGGGGGAGAGAUCGUUAUCCCCUGCCAGCCCCGGGCAGCUCCAAAGGCCGUGGUGCUCUGGAGCAAAGGCACGGAGAUUUUGGUCAACAGCAGCAGAGUGACUGUAACUCCAGAUGGCACCUUGAUCAUAAGAAACAUCAGCCGGUCAGAUGAAGGCAAAUACACCUGCUUUGCUGAGAACUUCAUGGGCAAAGCCAACAGCACUGGAAUCCUAUCUGUGCGAGAUGCAACCAAAAUCACUCUAGCCCCCUCAAGUGCCGACAUCAACUUGGGUGACAACCUGACCCUACAGUGCCAUGCCUCCCACGACCCCACCAUGGACCUCACCUUCACCUGGACCCUGGACGACUUCCCCAUCGACUUUGAUAAGCCUGGAGGGCACUACCGGAGAACUAAUGUGAAGGAGACCAUUGGGGAUCUGACCAUCCUGAAUGCCCAGCUGCGCCAUGGGGGGAAGUACACAUGCAUGGCCCAGACGGUGGUGGACAGCGCGUCCAAGGAGGCCACAGUCCUGGUCCGAGGUCCGCCAGGUCCCCCAGGAGGUGUGGUGGUGAGGGACAUUGGCGACACCACCAUCCAGCUCAGCUGGAGCCGUGGCUUCGACAACCACAGCCCCAUCGCUAAGUACACCCUGCAAGCUCGCACUCCACCUGCAGGGAAGUGGAAGCAGGUUCGGACCAAUCCUGCAAACAUCGAGGGCAAUGCCGAGACUGCACAGGUGCUGGGCCUCACCCCCUGGAUGGACUAUGAGUUCCGGGUCAUAGCCAGCAACAUUCUGGGCACUGGGGAGCCUAGUGGGCCCUCCAGCAAAAUCCGGACCAGGGAAGCAGCCCCCUCGGUGGCACCCUCAGGACUCAGCGGAGGAGGUGGAGCCCCCGGAGAGCUCAUCGUCAACUGGACGCCCAUGUCACGGGAGUACCAGAACGGAGACGGCUUCGGCUACCUGCUGUCCUUCCGCAGGCAGGGCAGCACUCACUGGCAGACCGCCCGGGUGCCUGGCGCCGAUGCCCAGUACUUUGUCUACAGCAACGAGAGCGUCCGGCCCUACACGCCCUUUGAGGUCAAGAUCCGCAGCUACAACCGCCGCGGGGAUGGGCCCGAGAGCCUCACUGCACUCGUGUACUCAGCUGAGGAAGAGCCCAGGGUGGCCCCUACCAAGGUGUGGGCCAAAGGGGUCUCAUCCUCAGAGAUGAACGUGACCUGGGAACCCGUGCAGCAGGACAUGAAUGGUAUCCUCCUGGGGUAUGAGAUCCGCUACUGGAAAGCUGGGGACAAAGAAGCAGCUGCGGACCGAGUGAGGACAGCAGGGCUGGACACCAGUGCCCGAGUCAGCGGCCUGCAUCCCAACACCAAGUACCAUGUGACCGUGAGGGCCUACAACCGGGCUGGCACUGGGCCUGCCAGCCCUUCUGCCAACGCCACGACCAUGAAGCCCCCUCCGCGGCGACCUCCUGGCAACAUCUCCUGGACUUUCUCAAGCUCCAGUCUUAGCAUUAAGUGGGACCCUGUGGUCCCUUUCCGAAAUGAGUCUGCAGUCACCGGCUAUAAGAUGCUGUACCAGAAUGACUUACACCUGACUCCCACGCUCCACCUCACCGGCAAGAACUGGAUAGAAAUCCCAGUGCCUGAAGACAUUGGCCAUGCCCUGGUACAAAUUCGGACCACAGGGCCCGGAGGGGAUGGGAUCCCUGCAGAAGUCCACAUCGUGAGGAAUGGAGGCACAAGCAUGAUGGUGGAGAACAUGGCAGUCCGCCCAGCACCACACCCUGGCACCGUCAUUUCCCACUCCGUGGCGAUGCUGAUCCUCAUAGGCUCCCUGGAGCUCUGAUCCUGGAACCCCUCCCUCUGCGCCGCAGCUGGACGCCACCUCCGACGGACACAGCCAGCCCCUUCCUGCUGCCAAGGUGGCCUGACACUGUGCCAGAGAGUGGCUGGUUUUAAAUACCUACUUUAAACAGUGCCCUUUUUGUAGGAGGUAGGAUAUUUUAUAUUCUGCCGCAGGAUAGAACCCACGCAAGGAUUUUCUUUAAAUUGAGAGGCACCAGGCAGUAACUUCCAUGAUGACACUGACGCCUAUACCUGAGCUCUAGGCUGCCUGGAGGGAAGGAACAGGCCCAUGGGAAGAAGGGGGUUUUAAAAACAUGUCUUCAACUCAGCAGAGAUGGAAUUCUGGGACCCUAUACGGACUCCGCCACUUGAGAGCAGUCCUAGGCCCGGCAGGAACACCAGACAUGAACAGGUUGAAGAACUGGAGCGAAGUGCACACCUCACCAUCUUUCAGUCUAAGGAAGAAGGGCAAGCCCUGGGACCAAGAACUCUCCUGCCUUCUCCCUUGAGCAGCAGCAAGGACCCUGACGCUGUCCCCGAUAACUCCCUAGGGGCUCCUGCCUGCCCAAGCGGCUGAGAACCAGCGCCCCGAUGCCUGAGGCUGGGAGCCUGAGCCCCUUCAGCUUUGAGGGGGGUGAUACUCCAGGCUGUUUGGGGUGGGAGCCAAAAAAAGUUGAGAGGCCAGGGCCCUUGGUGGAAAGGGGCACCAGCCUUGGUCUGAGAUAGUCACAACCCAGGUGACGAUGCCCUCUCAGCCAACACUGCCAACCUGACCCUGUCAUCCCGAUUGACAGCGCCACUUCAGGUGGCUGGGUGACUAAAGGGCUUGUCUUGGUGGGGUCUCCCACCCCUCCAAGACCCAUUCUGCACAGUCCCUCCAGGGUUUGGGCAGGAGAUGGCCAAUCAUGCGCCCACCUCUCCCUCCAGUGCUGCCUGCAGUCAGCUCGGCCUCCCCGACCUGCAGCCCCAGACUCUGCUCUCCCAGCACUGACUCACUCCUGCCUGGGAGGGGAAUGCAGCAUUCAUGCUGUGUGUCCUGGUAUUGGGAGGUUUCUGGGAAGGGCAGAGGAUAAAUGUGGCCCUGCCUGCUCCCAGGUAUACCUAGGACCACCUGGCCAGAUCCGCUCCCAGACGGCCUUGGACUGCUUGCAUUUCCCCGGAGAAAAAGGGGUUAAUAAAUGGGCCAUCCUUUCCUG
rnacentral:sRNA from 1 species